UCCAGACUCCUACGGGAGGCAGCAGUGGGGGAUAUUGCACAAUGGGGGGAACCCUGAUGCAGCGACGCCGCGUGGGUGAAGGAGCGUUUCGGCGCGUAAAGCCCUAUCGGCAGGGAAGAAGGAGGACGGUACCUGACUAAGAAGCCCCGGCUAACUACGUGCCAGCAGCCGCGGUAAUACGUAGGGGGCAAGCGUUAUCCGGAUUUACUGGGUGUAAAGGGGGCGCAGACGGCAGCGCAAGCCAGGAGUGAAAGCCCGGGGCCCAACCCCGGGACUGCUCUGGAAACUGCGGCGCUGGAGUGCAGGAGGGGCAGGCGGAAUUCCUGGUGUAGCGGUGAAAUGCGUAGAUAUCAGGAGGAACACCGGUGGCGAAGGCGGCCUGCUGGACUGCAACUGACGUUGAGGCCCGAAAGCGUGGGGAGCAAACAGGAUUAGAUACCCCGGUAG
rnacentral:rRNA from 1 species